CUUUCUGGAGAUUGUUCCCCUUGGAGUUUUCAGCAAGCCUAGGACAUGGGAAAAAAAAAAAACAACCCUCUGAGACAUGUCAUCUAAGUUUGAAGUGCACACACAGCCUGAUCUGGGAUUGUUCUGGACCUCUUGAAUCAACCUGCAGCAGUUUGGAGCCAAGUGGCAGCCAUGGGGACAUUGUGGUGGGAGGAAAAGGAUACAAGGUGCAGUGAGCCUCUCCAGAGGGACCACUGCUGUUAUCUGGCCUCUGCUAAACAGAUGUUAACUCCAAGGCUUUUUGUGCGCUUCCUUGAUAGUCAGUGUCUGAGGGUUUAUCUCUUCCAGCCUUCCAUAUGAUAACGCUGCUUGACCAAGAGGAAUGAGAAGAAGGGAUUGCUGUUUCAGUUCUUGCUCAGUAUAAGGAAAUCAGAAUAACUUUUGCCAUUUAUUCCUUGGAGGGAACCAGCAAAACUUAAUUUCCUUCCCAAAAACUGAGAGGAAACUAAAACAAGUGUUUAAAAGGAGCAGAGUAUAUGCUCAAAACAGUUGUGAGAAAGUCAGGUUUGGUUAACCCACACCCAACACCACCAUUAUUUAGGUAAAACUUUCAAGACUUCAUCUAUUUUCAGUCACACCCUGAAAAUUCUAUGUAUUUAUUAUUCAUCUGACUUCUUUGUACAUAACACUGCUCACCUCAGGACAUGUUCUGAUUUAUUCUGCUAAUGGAGGUGACAUUGCUGAUUCAGACCUCUUCACACCACAAAAAAAAAAAGUGUCUGAAUGUGAAAAAGCCCUGUUGUCAGCAGACAGUAAGAGAACAGGGGAAAAUUCACACCUUCAGCAUCCAAAUGAGGCUAAGUUCCAAAAAAACUUUGGUUCCUGCAAGGAAAUAGUUCAGAAUGCAGCACUGGCUUUGUAUGAGUUGUGAGCCUUUGGGAUCCAGCUGAAAUCUCCCCAGGGCAAGUGUGGUUCAGGUUCUCUCUAUUCCAUUAGUUGUCCUUCUUACAUGGCCCAGCUCAGACUGAGCACAAAUACAUCAGCACACACCUGAGUCAGGAUCCAGAAUGAGAACAGAAGAGCUUCUGCCAUGAAACAGAACUCGCAAUAUGAGCUAAUGAAGGAGGAAGGUAAUUUAACAUGCUUCUGGCACAAGAUGCAUUGCUUCAACUAAUUUUAUAAGAUCCUGUAUUUUUGUUAGGUAUUUAGUAGCAAUUUG